AGGUCCGUUAAGUGGCUCCUGGGUCGUUGGCCACGCCUACCUCGGAGUAAGCGCUUGUGAUUGGCUUUCCCUUUGAAAUCCUUCCUAUAGUCUGUGUGCUAUAGUUGGCUCCUCUCCCUUCUGCCCCGCCUUGAGGUAUCACGAGGUCCGGCGUCGUCCGUUGGGCCGAUGAAGGCGAAGCAGGUCCCGCCCAUCCGCCCCGCUGGCUUCUCUGAUUGGCCCCUUCUCGCCGCGCUCCCCCACUAACAGACUCGCUUUUGCAGUCCUCCCCAAACGGAAUAUCAGACCUUGGAAUUAGGUGAAAGAACCCUCCUGGGCACUAUCUUCUUCCAAAAUGUUCCUGGAGCUCGGUGUGCGAGGAUGCUACCUCAGGCCCGAUUCUUAUUGGAAGAGAGCUUUUUUAGCAUCUGGUGGGAAGUUGGUCCUGAACUCUUGGGAGACAGAUGGGCUGCAAGGAAAGCAGAUGCCCUGCAGUUGUGCGUGGGAGUGAACCGCUGUGCCUUCCUGACUGGAGUUCUUCAGAGAUCUAGAACCGAGAUUACAGGUUCCCAGCCCCAGAGAUGGCCCUCUGGGCAAAUUGCUAAGACUAUAAUAAAACUCCUUUUUUAGUCACAGACUUUGAAGUUAUUUUUGGAGUAGAGAGGAGAGAGCACGCCCAAAUCUCUUCCAGAACUUCUUUUUAUUCCUCAAUCACUUGGAGGCUGAUUAGCCAGCCCAGGAAGCAAAGUUGGGAAGACUGACAAUAACCUAUCUUCCCUGGAGGUUGUAGUUUGGGAAAUGGGGAGGGGGGGAGUGUCAGUGUUUAUUGCAUGAUUCAUUUUCCUUCCUAUAUUAUUUUUUUUUAGUGCUUUCUUAGGUAAAGACUCCCCUACCCUACUAUAAUGUUAAAGUAAGUUACUUCUGACCGGUCAAGAGAGGUUGAGAGGAAAAUGGGGGCUCGUGAGCAGCGGUUGACUAGAUGGCGGUGAACCCAGAGCGGUUUUGGGGGAACCAGAAUGUGGCCAUGCAAGUGCUGCACUCAUGAACCCUGGUGACUGGUGGUCUGGUCCAGGGCAUUUGUCAAUCAACACUGGGGCUUUCCUUUUGUCCUUGGCUAAAACACCACAGCAGGGAAUCUGCUUGAGGAAUUAAGAGAGGAGUAUGGUCACCUGACCCCUUUCAAAGAGCCCCACAUGUGCAACAACCUUCAGAACAGUCAGCCCCACUCCCCCCUUUGGGGUACAAUGGGAACUUGGUGCCAAUUGGGUUAGUUGAUUUUAUCUAGUUGGGGUUUUUUGUUAGGUUGGGACAUAUUGGGAAAUAAAUGAGGUUUAAAAAACGGCACAUCGAUAAGACUUUAAAACAUUGGUAUUGGCCUAUACAAUGAUGGCCAGAGCCCAGCCCAUCAUUCUGCCAUUAUAUCUUGAUGCUUAUGGGGUUUGAAAGCAUUAGUCCUGCAGUCCCCUAUCAAAAUACAAUGUUGCUGGAAAGUCUUAAAUUUCAGUUAUGAACUAACUUUAAGAUUAAUAGAAUAGGAGGGAAGAGAAGGGGCUAGGUGGAGGGGAGGCAGAGAAAGAUAAGUGGAAGCUCCAAAGUGACUCCCAUUGUUCUUACUUACAUAUGACUACUUCUCCCCAAGGUUUGUUUUUCUUAAUAUGUCCUUCAUGGGCUAUUAUAAAUAUUAACCACUUUUAUUCUGCAGCUAGCGGGGGCCAUAGUGCACAGAGAAUGGGUUAUUGGUUGGUUGGUGUCCUUCGUUCUUGAAGAGGACCAAGAUGACAUCACUAUGAGAGUCGAGUUAGUGUGUCUAGUUGUGGCUGAUCAGACCAACCCGAGCUCUGAGUGCUCUGCCACAGGGUGAACACCCAGUCUCUGUGAACAUUUGGGGGCAACAUGAGUUCUCCAUGAAACUCAAGUAUACAUUUGGCUGCAGUUAGGAAGACUCAUCACCUCAGGUCACUAGCCGUGUGAUCCAGGACAAGUCACUUCAGCCUGUUUCCUCAUCUGUAAAAUGGGCUGGAGAAGGAAAUGACAAACCACUCCAGUAUCUGUGCAAAGAAAACCCCAAAUGGGAUCAUGAAGAAUCGAUGUGGCUGAAAAACCGAAUGACAGUAUCUGUUUAUUGAAUAAAAUUUUUAAAAAGUUUC
ensembl:lncRNA